rnacentral:misc_RNA from 1 species
AAGUCGUAACAAGGUCUCCGUAGGUGAACCUGCGGAGGGAUCAUUACAAGUGACCCCGGCUACGGCCGGGAUGUUCAUAACCCUUUGUUGUCCGACUCUGUUGCCUCCGGGGCGACCCUGCCUUCGGGCGGGGGCUCCGGGUGGACACUUCAAACUCUUGCGUAACUUUGCAGUCUGAGUAAACUUAAUUAAUAAAUUAAAACUUUUAACAACGGAUCUCUUGGUUCUG